CUUCAGAUUGAACAUCCAAUACUUUCCAGCGUAUGUGAUUGACGUGAACAGGUGGAGGACAGUUAUAGAACUGUUUGGUAUGACAUAGUUACUUCUUAGUGAAUAUGGUGAGGAAUCUCAGGCUCAGUGAAAUCGAAUAAUGUGCCCAAGACCACGAAAGCCAGUAACUGGGGAACUGAGACUUCACUGUAGGUUUACUUUCACACGCUGCUUUGCCAAUAAUCUAGCCAACAGCAAGUUAGAGACAUACACAUAUCAAGUUCCGGCUGGAGUGUUGCUGGGGCAUGACAACCACUGGGAGAAGAGCUGAUCUGGGAGUGACCAGGGUUGGAAAGCCCAGUACCCCUAGCUCAAACGGGGCAGUUAGAAGGAGCAAAUUAAAUUUCCCAGAGGAAAUCCGGGACUGAUGGCAAAGGAUGGAUCUGCAAAGGGAGAGUUCAGAGAGCAGAUCCGGGCCCAGGAAGUUGAUUAGGCAGAUGGUGGGGGCAUGAGAAUCGGAGACAUCUGGGAAGAAGGAAGAGGGGAAUAAACUUGUCAGGACAGCUCAGAUCCUUUGGCUCCAUCCUCUUCUGUGCUCCCAGUGUACCCUGCACGUUGCUGUCUACCAAGGUACCCGACACUUUCUACAGAAUCAUAGGUUGGACUUUUAUUAUUAGAUUGAAAGCAUUUUAAGGGUGAGUGUUAUUAGAGGGGCUUUGUCUUGUUUCAUUGUUUCG